rnacentral:rRNA from 1 species
GAUGAACGCUGGCGGCGUGCCUAAUACAUGCAAGUAGAACGCUGAAGGAAGGAGCUUGCUCUUUCCGGAUGAGUUGCGCACGGGUGAGUAACGCGUAGGUAACCUGCCUGGUAGCGGGGGAUAACUAUUGGAAACGAUAGCUAAUACCGCAUAACAGUAGAUGUUGCAUGAUAUCUACUUAAAAGGUGCAAUUGCACCACUACCAGAUGGACCUGCGUUGUAUUAGCUAGUUGGUGAGGUAACGGCUCACCAAGGCGACGAUACAUAGCCGACCUGAGAGGGUGAUCGGCCACACUGGGACUGAGACACGGCCCAGACUCCUACGGGAGGCAGCAGUAGGGAAUCUUCGGCAAUGGACGGAAGUCUGACCGAGCAACGCCGCGUGAGUGAAGAAGGGUUUCGGAUCGUAAAGCUCUGUUGUAAGAGAAGAACGAGUGUGAGAGUGGAAAGUUCACACUGUGACGGUAUCUUACCAGAAAGGGACGGCUAACUACGUG